AUUGAACGCUGGCGGCAUGCCUUACACAUGCAAGUCGAACGGCAGCGGGCCUUCGGGUGCCGGCGAGUGGCGAACGGGUGAGUAAUGCAUCGGAACGUGCCAUUGAGUGGGGGGAUAACGUAGCGAAAGUUACGCUAAUACCGCAUAUUCUGUGAGCAGGAAAGCAGGGGGACCGCAAGGCCUUGCGCUCUUUGAGCGGCCGAUGUCAGAUUAGCUAGUUGGUGAGGUAAAGGCUUACCAAGGCGACGAUCUGUAGCGGGUCUGAGAGGAUGAUCCGCCACACUGGAACUGAGACACGGUCCAGACUCCUACGGGAGGCAGCAGUGGGGAAUUUUGGACAAUGGGCGCAAGCCUGAUCCAGCCAUGCCGCGUGAGUGAAGAAGGCCUCGG
rnacentral:rRNA from 1 species